rnacentral:rRNA from 1 species
GGCUCAGGAUGAACGCUGGCGGCGUGCCUAAUACAUGCAAGUCGAGCGAACAGAUAAGGAGCUUGCUCCUUUGACGUUAGCGGCGGACGGGUGAGUAACACGUGGGUAACCUACCUAUAAGACUGGAAUAACUCCGGGAAACCGGGGCUAAUGCCGGAUAACAUGUUGAACCGCAUGGUUCUACAGUGAAAGACGGUCUUGCUGUCACUUAUAGAUGGACCCGCGCCGUAUUAGCUAGUUGGUGGGGUAACGGCCUACCAAGGCGACGAUACGUAGCCGACCUGAGAGGGUGAUCGGCCACACUGGAACUGAGACACGGUCCAGACUCCUACGGGAGGCAGCAGUAGGGAAUCUUCCGCAAUGGGCGAAAGCCUGACGGAGCAACGCCGCGUGAGUGAUGAAGGUCUUCGGAUCGUAAAGCUCUGUUGUUAGGGAAGAACAAAUGUGUAAGUAAC